rnacentral:rRNA from 1 species
ACGGGAGGCAGCAGUGGGGAAUAUUGGGCAAUGGGCGAAAGCCUGACCCAGCAACGCCGCGUGAAGGAAGAAGGUCUUCGGAUUGUAAACUUCUUUUAUGAGGGACGAAGGACGUGACGGUACCUCAUGAAUAAGCCACGGCUAACUACGUGCCAGCAGCCGCGGUAAUACGUAGGUGGCAAGCGUUAUCCGGAUUUACUGGGUGUAAAGGGAGCGUAGACGGAACAGCAAGUCUGAAGUGAAAUCAUAGGGCUCAACCCUGUAACUGCUUUGGAAACUGUUGAUCUAGAGUACCGGAGGGGCAGGCGGAAUUUCUGGUGUAGCGGUGAAAUGCGUAGAUAUCAGGAAGAACACCGGUGGCGAAGGCGGCCUGCUGGACGGUAACUGACGUUGAGGCUCGAAAGCGUGGGGAGCAAACAGGAUUAGAUACCCUGGUA